rnacentral:rRNA from 1 species
UGGGGAAUAUUGGGACAAUGGGCGCAAGCCUGAUCCAACAAUGCCGCGUGUGUGAAGAACGCCUGCGGGUUGUAAAGCACUUUCAGUGGGGAAGAACGGGCGACGGGUUAAUACCCCUAGCAACUGACGUUACCCACAGAAGAAGCACCGGCUAACUCCGUGC